rnacentral:lncRNA from 1 species
UUUUUUAUUUUUUUUCAACAUUAGAAAAUCCAUAUCUCAUCCAAUUUUUGUCCAAAUAAUGUGAGAUUUUUUGUGGAAUGAUCCUUGUAGUCUCUACUAUUUUUUGGUUAUUUUUAAUAAAAUUGUGCACGUGUAGUUUUUGAAAUGGCCUAGGGUUUGUAUGAACAUGUCAUUCUGUGCACCAUGCUCACUCUUUUGCUCAUAAAAUGAUGAUGCUUCAUUAGAAAUUCAUGAAAUUUUUUGUGCUUAAA